CCCUUAAGUUUGAUCCUGGCUCAGGAUGAACGCUAGCGGCAGGCUUAACACAUGCAAGUCGAGGGGUAGUAUAGCAAUAUAUGAGACCGGCGCACGGGUGCGUAACGCGUAUGCAACCUACCUUUCACAGAGGGAUAGCCCAAAGAAAUUUGGAUUAAUACCUCAUAGUAUAGUGACAUCGCAUGAUGAUGCUAUUAAAGUUCCAACGGUGAAAGAUGGGCAUGCGUCCCAUUAGCUAGAUGGUAAGGUAACGGCUUACCAUGGCAACGAUGGGUAGGGGUCCUGAGAGGGAGAUCCCCCACACUGGUACUGAGACACGGACCACACUCCUACGGGAGGCAGCAGUGAGGAAUAUUGGACAAUGGGCGCAAGCCUGAUCCAGCCAUGCCGCGUGCAGGAUGAAGCAUCUAUGGUGUGUAAACUGCUUUUGUACAAAAAGAAACACUCCGACGUGUCGGAGCUUGACGGUAUCGUAAGAAUAAGGAUCGGCUAACUCCGUGCCAGCAGCCGCGGUAAUACGGAGGAUCCAAGCGUUAUCCGGAAUCAUUGGGUUUAAAGGGUCCGUAGGCGGGCCAGUAAGUCAGUGGUGAAAUCUCCCGGCUCAACCGGGAAAUGGCCAUUGAUACUGCUGGUCUUGAAUUAAUUAGGAAGUAACUAGAAUAUGUAGUUGUAGCGGUGAAAUGCUUAGAGAUUACAUGGAAUACCAAUUUGCGAAGGCAGGUUACUACUAAUGGAUUGACGCUGAUGGACGAAGCGUGGUAGCGAACAGGAUUAGAUACCCUGUAGUCACGCAUAACGAUGAUACUAGCUGUCGGCGCAAGUUCAGUACCUAGCGAAGUGAUAGUAUCCAGCUGGGGGAGUACGUUCGCAGAUGACUCAAAGGAAUCGCUGGUCGACAGCGUGAAGCAUGUGAUUAUUCAAUGAC
rnacentral:rRNA from 1 species